rnacentral:lncRNA from 12 species
CGUGUUCUAAUACCACAAAGGGUGAGGACUCUUAGGGACAAGGACCAUUUUGUUUUUUAGAGAUCUUCAGUACGGACUACGGACCAGCAUGAAGAGGCACCCAGUAAUUGCUCCAUAGCAGCAAAAGGACCAGAGUGUAUAUUCCCAUUCACCCUCGCUCAGUCUAUUCUCAUACACUGAGUGAGCCUGCAGGAUCACAGAGGGAAAGGCAAUAUCAUGUAGAGCCUAAGAGCCAGAAGCAGUCACCUAAGGAGAGCAGCCAAGUGAUGCACUUCAGAGCUGAGAACAGCAGAAAAGUCCCAAGACUCAUGAAAAAGAGCAGGAAACAAAGGUUGUACAUUAAGAUGGGAGCAUGCCCCCACGGGUGAAGGAGCCAAGACUGACAGAAGAGCUACAAAUACAUCAACUUGAACAAAUGGAAGCCAGACAGUGCAAUUCCUACCCUUCUAUUUAAUAUAAGAAAUACUGUGUGACAUCGGGAACGUUUUUAGUUCCUCUAUGCCUCAGUUUCCUGGUCUAUAACUCCUAAGAUUAUUGUGAUAUAGUAAAUGCAUUUAUUUUUGUAGCCCUUAGACCUCAGUAUCAUUUUUAUUAUACUUACUAUUAUAGAAGAUUCCUUGAGUCUUCUUUGCUAUUUAUAUUGUUUUAUGCUUUCUGUGUAUUGUAUAGAUAAUCAGUUGUUUGGUUGAUAAUAUUAGUCAGCUAAGAUAACUCUAAAAUUAAUCAAAUUCUUUUAUUUUGAAUGGAAAUUUAAAUUCUUUUAUUUCAAAUGGAAGAGAAGCCAUCUGACAACUUAGUUCUCUCUGCCUACCUAAUAGCCUGAUAGCUGAAACCAUAAAGGGGAAAGAAUCAACAGAAAGCUGAACCAAACUUCCUAAAAGAUAUUUUGUUCUUUUAACCUUCCACACAGUAGACCAAGUAAAACCUUAGACAUAUAGUUCCUCUGAUGUUGGUAGGGAGCCUUUGACAACAGAGGCAAAAUGAUUUUUCCCCCAGAAUGUUUAUAAGUUGUAGCAGCUUCUUUUCCAAUUAAACUGUCAAUAUUGUGAGACCAAAGGCAGUAUGGAUAACACUCAUCUUACACAUGACCUAAGAUAGAUACAGUUGUUGGAAGAAUUGUUUUUUUUUCUCUCGAUCAGUAUUUAUUGAGAGUCUGUUACGACUGGGUACAGUGUUCAGCAGUGAAGAAGACAAACAAGGAGCCCUCAUGAAGCUUCUGUUCCAGGAGGAAGACAGAUACUUGUUUAUUUAUUAAUAAACAAGUAAAUUGAUAGUUAAACA